AGUGAACGCUGGCGGUAGGCCUAACACAUGCAAGUCGAACGGCAGCACAGUAAGAGCCUGCUCUUACGGGUGGCGAGUGGCGGACGGGUGAGGAAUACAUCGGAAUCUACUUUUUCGUGGGGGAUUACGGAGGGAAACUUACGCUAAUACCGCAUACGACCUACGGGUGAAAGCAGGGGAUCUUCGGACCUUGCGCGAUUGAAUGAGCCGAUGUCGGAUUAGCUAGUUGGCGGGGUAAAGGCCCACCAAGGCGACGAUCCGUAGCUGGUCUGAGAGGAUGAUCAGCCACACUGGAACUGAGACACGGUCCAGACUCCUACGGGAGGCAGCAGUAGGGAAUAUUGGACAAUGGGCGCAAGCCUGAUCCAGCCAUACCGCGUGGGUGAAGAAGGCCUUCGGGUUGUAAAGCCCUUUUGUUGGGAAAGAAAAGCAGCAGGUUAAUACCCCGCUGUUCUGACGGUACCCAAAGAGUAAGCCCCGGCUAACUUCGUG
rnacentral:rRNA from 1 species